GGACACUGCAGCAGGGAUAGCGAAUGUGGUGCUCUUCUGGACUACAAUUCCCAUCAGCUCCAGCCAGCAUGGCCAAUGGUGAGAGAUAGUGGGAGGUGUAGUCCACCACAUCUGGAGGGCACCAUGUUGACUAUGGCUGCACUGCAGAGAGCGUUAAGCAUGAAAUUGCUGGUAUUAGUAAGGGAUGCGUGUUGCGGCUGGAACUUGUAACCUAGUCAAAAGGAAGGGGGGAAAAGAAUCCUUCCUGUUCAUAUUGUAGCCACACAUUAUUCAAAAGCAUAAUGAAAUUCCAGAGAACAUCAGAUGCUGAAGUACAUGCAGAUAAUUUUGUUUUUAUAACCAAUUUCAGACAGAUAAAUACUAGCCUCCUUUCCAAUUUCCCCCCCAUGAAACCGAAGUGUCAGUGAGAUUUACAGCCCCCUCAAGUUCUCUUUUCAUAGGAACAUUCAUUUACAUAAACAGAUAAUCCAAGAUAAAAAUUUCCAUUAGACAAAGGUGAAAUGGAUCAAUUUUCUCUGCCAAGGCAAAUCUUAAAUCUUGAACAGAUAGGGUCAUUAUUACACACCAGCCCCAUUUCAGAAAUAAUGUAUUUUUUUUUAAAAUAAAAAAAACCACACCAUCCGAUAGCAGCCAUUUCCAGCUUUCCAAUUAUCUUUAAGAAAAGCUUAUUCUGUGGACAAUAAAGCACAUUACGGCACAAUAUGAUACAGUCCAUAAAGAUCACAACGUUUUAUGAAAGGUUAAAAAGAAAGCUCAGCACAUUUAAGGGGGAAUGUCAUAACCCACAAAGACUUUCGAGACUUUGCCCUGACAGCACGCUCCCGAUGUGUAAACAUGGUGGUCAGAGAAAUUUGACAGCGUUUCGUUUUGCUUAAAAACUAUAGCCACCCUGCCAUAAAAGUGGGCCCUUGCAUUAGGUUAAACAACAGAGAGGAAUGGUGGUAUCAGAAGAUGUUGUUUUCUCUUUGGAGAAGACGCUAAUUUAGGCUGCGUUCUACCUCCUGCUUGCUACACACUCACGGCAUUUCCAGAACUGUGUUUUUAAUCUGCGUUCACACAAUGCCGUUAUCCUGCUGGUGCACUCACACAGCGCUCUCUCUCACUCCUUCCCUGCAAACAGCAGCAACUCGGCCAUCAGGGGAUCAGGCAAGGGCUACCAAUGCAAAAGUCAAGGGCUCUGAUCUGCCAACAAGCCCUUGUUUUCAGUUCCAGGCAGGUGGCAAAACAGACAUUUAUUGCAUUCCUGGUGUGCAACCUGACACAAAAAAGCUCACAUUUUUUAUUUAUUUAAUAAAGUUCAUAUGCCGCUUGGUGGCAGGAAAAGCCCAAAGUGGCUUUCAAAGCGUAAUUCAUGGGAGAUGUACCACAUACCCUCCAAAAUUUUCUCCAAUGAACAUAGGGGCACCCUAUAUAACAACAACAUCAACAACUUUAUUAUUUUUUCCCUGCCCAUCUGACUGGCUUGCUCCAGCCACUCUGGGCAGCUUCCAACAUAUAUAAAAACAUAAUAAAACAUUUUUUAAAACUUCCAUAUACAGGGCUACCAUCAGAUGUUGUCUAAAGAUUGGAUAGUUACUUAACUCUUUGGCUCGGGGGUCGCAAAACUCCAUACCCUCCAACAUUUCUCCAAUGAAAAUAGGAACAUGCUAAGGAAUUGAAGCUUUUGAAUUAUGGUGCUGGAGGAGACUCUUGAGGGUCCCGUGGACUGCAAGAAGAUCAAACCUCUCCAUUCUGAAGGAAAUCAGCCCUGAGUGCUCACUGGAAGGACAGAUCCUGAAGCUGAGGCUCCAAUGGCCACCUCAUGAGAAGAGAGAACUCCCUGGAAAAGACCCUGAUGUUGGGGAAGAUUGAGGGCACAAGGAGAAGGGGACGACAGAGGACAAGAUGGUUGGACAGUGUUCUUGAAGCUACCAGCAUGAGUUUGACCAAACUGCGGGAGGCAGUGGAAGACAGGAGUGCCUGGCGUGCUCUGGUCCAUGGGGUCACGAAGAGUCAGACUCGACUAAACAACAAGGAAAAUCGGGACAUUCCAGGAUCAAAUCAGAAACCGGGACGGCAUCUGUAAAGCUGGGGCUGUCCCUGGAAAAUAGGGACACUUGGAGGGUCUGGAUGGAGCACAACUCCCUCAAGUUCCUAGUCCUUAUGAAGGUGAAGAUUGGCUUGAGAAUGCUGAAAUAUCGGGAGGCUGAACAAGAUUUUCAGUGUUCCAGGGGAGAAGUUUCUGCGCUUGACUCCGCCACUUAUACCACACUAGUUCUCUUUACUUACUAUCCCAUAAUAUUUUUUGGGGGGUGGCAAUAAUCCCCUUGUUUUGCUCCACUGAUGAAUAGCGAUACUAACCAUAUAAUGGAUAGUUAGACUUUCCAUAAUUUCCAUUCAGUUUGAAUGACCUAAUUCACACUUUCCUGAAACAUUGUGAAAACCGAGCUAUACUUUGAAAUUCUCAUUUCUUCAUGUUUCAUGAUGCGCUUCUCCAGCCAAGUCAUGUGUGCCAAAAAUGUGCAUAUCAGUGGAAAGUGUGCAUAAAAUCGCAUAUGUUAGCAAAAGCAACAUGCAGAAGAAAUGCAUGGGUUGGACUCUUAAUCUCAGGGUUGUGGGUUUGAGCCACAUGUGGGGCAAAAGAUUCGGGGUUGGACUAGAUGACCCUCGUGGUCCCUUCCAACUCUACAAUUCUAUGAUUAAUGAAAUUAACAUAAGACAAAAGUGCAUACCAAAUAAACUGUGUACAUUAGGAGACAUGUAUACUAAAAUACUGACAAACUUUCAUCAGGACUUUUUUUAAAAAAUACCAAACAUGUGCAAGAAUGUGGAGAGCUGAACUGAAGGCUUAAAAAAUGAGAAAAUGGAUAGAAACUGAGAUAUUCCUCCAUCCCAAGCUGCAAUCCUCUGCAUGGGAGUAAAUCCCUCUGAAUGCAGUGAGUGGGGCUUACUUCUGAGUAGACACGCCUCGGCUGCUGCCCAAGGUGGCAACCCUGGUUUCCCACCUAGGAAGCCACAGCAUAAUUUAAAAGAAGACAAAGAUCAAGUUUCUCCAGAGCCUCUGGCAGCGGAGUUUAUGAACGGUGACAGAAACAAGAGGGAUGCACUAGAAAUCACUCUCUAAUAGACACAGCCAUCAAAGCCAAAAACAAGCAGCAGCAAAUGCAGCUCAUAUUUUCUUCGGGGAAGAAACGUAUUUCUUUGCUAGUUAAUGAAACCACAUUCCCUUAGGAAUCAGGGGCUGGUGGAGGAGAGGAAUGGGGCUUGAAGAAACUAUGGAAAGAUCAAGUGGCAAUUUAACAGUACAAUCCUCAAUAUACUAUUGACCCAAACUUGCAAAGCUAGGCAGGGAAAACAGCAGAAAUUUUUCUGCACAGAAAUAUUGGGAGAAAUUGUGUUUGAUUUGCUAUCUACAAUAUAAUGAUCAGAGUUUGCAUUUUCCUUUUCCUUUUCUGGUAGUCACAACUAAUGCAAGGAACCAAUUUGUCUCGCUCUCAAGGAAGGCAGUCCAAUUGAAAUCAGUAGGUCUUAUGCAUCAGAUUGCAUUGCGCAUUGUGUGUCGAUGGAAUAUACAGCCUGAUCUUGUGUAUAUUAUUUAUUGGAAUAUGGGGAUUACUCCCAACAAAUGUGCGUACGAUUACAGCCUCAAGCACAGCUUGAUUCCAUGGAAAUAGGCUUACAGGUUUUGCUUUUAAAUCAAAUCCUAAAAAAA
rnacentral:lncRNA from 1 species